rnacentral:lncRNA from 1 species
UUAUAUCUUUUAAGUACUCUUGCAGAAACUUAUACAUAGUCACAUAGAUAGGACUAAGAAAUAAAUCAUCAAUCCAUUUGAUCAUGAUCAUAAGCCGACCAUUAUGUCUUCGUCGGUUCUCUUCAGCACCAGUACUAGUAGUAAUAUUAUUAUUCAGCUGCAUAUAUAUAAUUAAUAAUACGUCGGUAGCAGCAGCCUCCGUGUCUUUGAAAGACAACAUCGCCAUGAUGAACAUCAUAAUUGCGGGCUCAGAAGAGGUUCUGAUGGAAUCGGAAGUGAGUCAUAGGCUUCUUGCGGCCUCUGGAGGAGACCCCAUAUCUUAUAGAUCUCUGGAGAAACCUCCAUUCUGUGAUGCGAAAAUAUAUGGCAAUUGCAUUAAACCCAUCAGCGGGAACAAUCGGCGCCCUUGCACUUACUACAAUACUUGCAAGCGUGGAGGCAGCUGAUUUCUUGAUGCUUCGUGCACGAUAAUCAGCGAUAUCGCUCAUGCACUUACUACAUUUGUUUGUAUUAUGGCAACUGCAAAAAAGAAAAAAGAAAAAUUGUGAUGUAGCAAUAAGAUGUAAUAAUUAAUUAAUUACAUCAUUAAAAUUAUGUUAUUAAAUCUUUAAUUAACUUCUCCACUUUCUUUAUUAAUCCAAAGUUCUGCAGAUCUGAAGGUAAUUAAUUGCCAUUUUUUCUGAAGCUGGCUAUGAAUAGAACUUACAAAAUGAUCAAAUUAAUGCAAUUUAGAUGAGGGCAAGCAUCCUUCGGAAUCGGUUUCUGCCUCGUGCCGUCGUUAGUUUUUUGCACGCUACAAUGUACACUUGGGGUAAAUACUGUAUGUUACCAGAAAUCAACUACCAAAAUUUAUUGAGAUUAUAAGUCAUUGCAUGCUAUUAUUUUUAUUACUAUCAUCAGCAUCAUAGCUUGAAUCUGCAAAUGACUUAAUUCAAGACUCCCCUAUUUAAAC